AUGCAUGAACCACAGACAGAGAAUACUCAGGAUGAGCGUAGACACGGAAGCAUACGAGUCACUGAAGCAAAUGAAUAUCUACAGGCAUCAUCCAUUCACAAGCACGUGAGUGGAAGCAAGCAGCUAGCGUGGUGUCGGCCUCCAGGAGGGAUAGCUGCCUGCACGGCUGUCGGAGUUGAGGAGCAGGCGGCUGUGUGCAGUUGUCGCUGUCGAUGGGUCAAGGAGCCCCGUGGACACAGCACGACGGGGAUGGCAGCGGAGCAGUCUGUGGCGGCGUGUGCGAGCAGUCCAUGUUCUACUCAUGCUCUGUAUCUCCCUCUGUUCUUGCUUAUCCAUCAAAAUCAAGACUAG
rnacentral:rRNA from 1 species